GGGUGCUGCAUGUCUCAGUAUAGCAAUCUAUACUGUGAAACUGCGAAUGGCUCAUUAAAUCAGUUAUCGUUUAUUUGAUAGUACCUUACUACAUGGAUACCUGUGGUAAUUCUAGAGCUAAUACAUGCUAAAAACCCCGACUUCGGGAGGGGUGUAUUUAUUAGAUAAAAAACCAAUGCCCCUCGGGGCUCCUUGGUGAAUCAUAAUAACUUAACGAAUCGCAUGGCCUUGCGCCGGCGAUGGUUCAUUCAAAUUUCUGCCCUAUCAACUUUCGAUGGUAGGAUAGUGGCCUACCAUGGUGGCAACGGGUAACGGGGAAUUAGGGUUCGAUUCCGGAGAGGGAGCCUGAGAAACGGCUACCACAUCCAAGGAAGGCAGCAGGCGCGCAAAUUACCCAAUCCCGACACGGGGAGGUAGUGACAAUAAAUACUGAUACGGGGCUCUUUUGGGUCUCGUAAUUGGAAUGAGUACAAUCUAAAUCCCUUAACGAGGAACAAUUGGAGGGCAAGUCUGGUGCCAGCAGCCGCGGUAAUUCCAGCUCCAAUAGCGUAUAUUAAAGUUGUUGCAGUUAAAAAGCUCGUAGUUGAACCUUGGGUCUGGCUGGCCGGUCCGCCUCACCGCGAGUACUGGUCCGGCUGGACCUUUCCUUCUGGGGAAUCCCAUGGCCUUCACUGGCUGUGGGUGGAACCAGGACUUUUACUGUGAAAAAAUUAGAGUGUUCAAAGCACGCCUUUGCUCGAAUACAUUAGCAUCGCAAUAAUAGAAUACGACGUGCAGUUCUAUUUUGUUGGGCUCUAGGACCGCCGUAAUGAAUAAUACGGAUAGUCGGGGGCGUCAGCAUUCAACUGUCAGAGGUGAAAUUCCUGGACUAUGCCGAAUACUAACUACUGCGAAGCAUUCACCAAGGAUAAUAUCACGAUCGUGCUAUGAAAGUAUUCCGAUCGAAGACGUUCAGAUAACGUCUGCUCUUAACCUCUACUAUGUCCACAUAAGAAAUACUGCGGUUCUCUCCUAUGAUCACUCGAAUGGC
rnacentral:rRNA from 1 species